rnacentral:rRNA from 1 species
CACGUAGGGCGCGAGCGUUGUCCGGAAUUAUUGGGCGUAAAGAGCUCGUAGGCGGCCUGUUGCGUCCGCUGUGAAAGCCGGGGGCUUAACCCCGGGUCGGCAGUGGAUACGGGCAGGCUGGAGGUAGGUAGGGGAGAAUGGAAUUCCCGGUGUAGCGGUGAAAUGCGCAGAUAUCGGGAGGAACACCGGUGGCGAAGGCGGUUCUCUGGGCCUUACCUGACGCUGAGGAGCGAAAGCGUGGGGAGCGAACAGG